rnacentral:rRNA from 1 species
GACGGAGGGGGCGAGCGUUAUUCGGAAUCAUUGGGCGUAAAGAGCGUGUAGGCGGCCGAUUAAGUCAGGUGUGAAAGCCCGGGGCUCAACCUCGGAAGUGCACUUGAAACUGGUCGGCUUGAGUUCGGGAGAGGGUAGCGGAAUUCCUGGUGUAGAGGUGAAAUUCGUAGAUAUCAGGAGGAACAUCGGUGGCGAAGGCGGCUACCUGGACCGAAACUGACGCUGAGACGCGAAAGCGUGGGAGCAAACAGG